UGAGUACGAGAUGCUACGGCAUCGAAGCAGUCUAUAUCAUACUUCCAAGAAAAGCUUGCAAUGUCAUAAACAAAUAAUGCCUGUACCAUAACCGACACAGGUGGGUAGGUAGAGUAUACUAAGGGGCGCGAGAUAACUCUCUCUAAGGAACUCGGCAAAAUGACUCCGUAACUUCGGGAGAAGGAGUGCCUUAUUUUUAUAAGGUUGCAAUAACAAGAUCCAAGCAACUGUUUACCAAAAACACAGGUCUCCGCUAAGUCGUAAGACGAUGUAUGGGGGCUGACGCCUGCCCAGUGCCAGAAGGUUAAAGAAGUUGGUUAGCAUUAGCGAAGCUGAUAACUGAAGCCCUGGUGAACGGCGGCCGUAACUAUAACGGUCCUAAGGUAGCGAAAUUCCUUGUCGGGUAAGUUCCGACCCGCACGAAAGGCGUAAUGAUUUGGAUACUGUCUCGGAGAGGGGCUCGGUGAAAUAGACUUGUCUGUGAAGAUGCGGACUACCUGCACCUGGACAGAAAGACCCUAUGAAGCUUUACUGUAACUUGAGAUUGAAAUUGGACUUUAUCUGCGCAGUAUAGGUGGGAGACGUUGAAAAUAUUCUUGCGGGAAUAUUGGAGUCAUCAGUGAGAUACCACUCUUAUAAUGUUAGAUUUCUAACUUUGUAUCAUUAUCUGGUCAAAGAACAGUUUCAGGCGGGCAGUUUGACUGGGGCGGUCGCCUCCCAAACGGUAACGGAGGCGCACAAAGGUUUCCUCUGAACGUGUAGAAAUCGUAUCUAGAGUGUAAAGGCAUAAGGAAGCUUGACUGUGAGACCUGCAAGUCGAGCAGGGACGAAAGUCGGUCUUAGUGAUCUGACGGUGCUGAGUGGAAAGGCCGUCACUCAACGGAUAAAAGUUACUCUAGGAUAACAGGCUGAUCUCCCCCAAGAGUUCACAUCGACGGGGAGGUUUGGCACCUCGAUGUCGGCUCAUCGCAUCCUGGGGCGGUAGUACGUCCCAAGGGUUGGGCUGUUCGCCCAUGAAAGCGGUACGCGAGCUGGGUUCAGAACGUCGUGAGACAGUUCGGUCCAUAUCCGGUGUAGGCGUUAGAAUAUUGAGAGGAGCCUUCUUUAGUACGAGAGGACCGAGAAGGACAUACCUCUGGUGUACCAGUUAUCGUGCCAACGGUAAACGCUGGGUAGCCAUGUAUGGAGAGGAUAACCGCUGAAAGCAUCUAAGUGGGAAGCCCACCUCAAGAUAAGUAUUCUCA
rnacentral:rRNA from 1 species